rnacentral:lncRNA from 1 species
GUCCCCGGAAUCACCCGGAGGCGGUUGGAAUUAACUGUCCAGGCUCCGCCACCAGCGCUCGGCCGCCGACUCCGGCUCCGGAAGGGAGGCCCGGGACGCGGCGGUUUUGUUAUUGGCAGGGAAGAGACCUGGGUUCCCGAUCGAACACAGAGGCCGAGCGCAGCAGUCCCCCACUGGGGUGCUGGGACCGCCCCUCGGGUGGGCGGACGGCUUUAGCUUCCUACCCCGGGUUGUGACCGGGUGGGGUCACAUAAGUUCAGGUCCACGCCCUGCUCGGUGCCGGCGCCAGGAGAGCCAGGAAGACGCGGCCCGGCUUGCGGGGGGUAGAGGGACACACUUGCGCUGCGGGACCAGUCUCCUGAGGCUGCACGGGUCAAUGACAUGAGGAAGACCGAAGGAGGCUGCUGGGUGUGGACACAAAGAGAUGGAGCAGACGCUUAUGGGCUCCUUCAUCCUUCCAGAACAGACUCUCCAAGCAAAGUCUAAACCAGUCACAUUGAAGCUCCUAGGGUUACUUCAUUAAUAAUAUUUCAGGCCGGGCGUGGUGGCUCACGCCUGUAAUCCCAGCACUUUGGGAGCCUGAGGCGGGAGGAUCACAAGAUUAGGAGUUCAAGACCAGCCUGGCCAAUAUGGUGAAAUCCCGUCUCUACAAAAAGUUAGCCAGGCGUGGUGGCGGGCGCCUGUAGUCCCAGCUACUCGGGAGGCUGAGGCAGGAGAAUGGCUUGAGCCCAGGAGGCGGAGGUUGCAGUGAGCCGAGAUUGCACCACUACACUCCAGCCUGGGCAACAGAGCAAGACUCUGUCUCAAAUAAUAAUAAUAAUAAUAAUACUUCAAAAAGACUUCAAAUUGAAGUCUUUUUUUUUUUUUUUUUUUUGAGACGGAUUCUCGCUCCGUCGCCCAGGCUGGAGUACAAUCGUGUGAUCUUGGCUCACUGCAACCUCCGCCUCCUGGGUUCAAGCCAUUCUCUGGCCUCAGCCUCCUGAGUAGCUGGUAUUACAGGCUUGUGCCAACAUGCCUGGCUAAUUUUUGUAUUUUUAGUAGAGACGGGGUUUCAUCUUGUUGUCCAGGCUGGUCAUGAACUCCUGACCUUAAGUGAUCUGCCUGCCUCAGCCUCCCAAAGUGCUGGGAUUACAGGUGUGAGCCACCACGCCCGGCUGCACUAAUUAUUUGUAAUGGUAAAGAGUGUAAGCUUCCCUAGGAGGACUGUCUCCCAGUUCUGCACUAGGGGAUAAAUUGUAAUGGUCAAGGUUCUUUCAGCAGUAAGUGACAGAAAACCAGCUAAAACCAGCUCAAGCGCAAAAGGGAAUGUCAUGCCUCUGGAAGCUGGGAGGUCCAAGGGACUCAAAUAUCAUUGUAAUCCCCAGCUUUUUUUUUUGCUCUGUCACCCAGGCUGGAGUGCAGGGGCGUGGUCUUGGUUCACUGCAGCCUCGAACUCCUGGGCUCAAGUGAUCCUCCUGCCUCAGCCUCUGGAGUAGUUGAGACUACAGGCAUGCGCCACCGCCAGGCUUCCUCCCUCUCUUGGCUCUGCUUCCCUCAGGUAUGGGGCUCAUUUUCUCCCACUGUUGACUGGCUUCCUCCUUUUCCAGGGGAAGGAAGUAGGCCAAGGUAUAGACAGCUCCUGACUUAGAUUGUUCCUGCCUUGUGAGCUUGGAGGAAAGAGAAAGCUUCUCUUUCUCAGAGGCCCAGAAGCUUCUCUUUCUCCUGGAGUCUGUCCUGACCUGCUCAUUCCUGGACCAGUCUCUGUGGCCAGAGGAAUACGGCACUGUGAUUGAACAAACCUGAGUCACGUGGCCAGAGGGAGGCUGUUGUGAUUGGCUGUCCCACUGGAACCACAUGGAGUCGGGUGGGUGAUGGAGAGUUUCGUAGGAGAUGGACACUGCUGUUACCAGGAAGAUGAAAUCUAUUUGAUGCAACAUUAUAUUCCAGGAAACGUUAUAGCUGCAAAGACCACGUAGCGACAUGAAAAUUGGUUAUAAAGCAAUGCUAAGAGAACAAGGCAGAAGACAGACUUGAAACUAUGAUGGCACAUUUGGAAUAUGAAAAAAUAGAAAACUUUUGCUCUGUAAGGGUGGUAGAAGAAUGAAUUAUUACGUCAAAAACCUUCAGUGUCUUUGCAAAAGUAUUUUAUAAUAAAUAAC